AUUGAACGCUGGCGGCAGGCCUAACACAUGCAAGUCGAGCGGAGCGGCGGACGGGUGAGUAAUGCCUAGGAAUCUGCCUGGGAGUGGGGGAUAACGUCGGGAAACGGGCGCUAAUACCGCAUCCUAUCAGAGUAGCCUAGGUCGGAUUAGCUAGUUGGUGGGGUAAAGGCCUACCAAGGCGACGAUCCGUAACCGGGCUGAGAGGAUGAUCAGCCACACUGGAACUGAGACACGGUCCAGACUCCUACGGGAGGCAGCAGUGGGGAAUAUUGGACAAUGGGCGAAAGCCUGAUCCAGCCAUGCCGCGUGUGUGAAGAAGGUCUUCGGAUUGUAAAGCACUUUAAGUUGGGAGGCGUUACCAACAGAAUAAGCACCGGCUAACUUCGUGCCAGCAGCCGCGGUAAUUC
rnacentral:rRNA from 1 species